rnacentral:tRNA from 1 species
GCAGUUGUAGCCGAGUGGUUAAGGCGAUAGACUUGAAAUCUAUUGGGCUCUGCCAGCGCAGGUUUGAAUCCUGCCGACUGCG